GGAACGAGAAGCCGACACCAGGCCAAUCUCUCCUAGAAGCCGGAAGCUGAAUUCUCAGCCGAAAGUAGCACCGGACUGUGAGUGCGAAACUUGCAGUCCUGAAGAAUUAAGGCCUCCCUCAAGGUGGGGUCUCGGGAUAGCUACGACUACAUAUCCCAGAAAUCCCUGCGCGCUGGUUCUCCUUCCGGCUAGUUUCUCCUGAUUUCCUGGCAGCCCAAGACUACCCAGACCGGGACGGAAACUCAGAGGCAACUCUUCGCUUGUCAGAGCUCCUGCGUGAGACAGAUUUCCGCACAUGCGCGGUCGGUGUCCGCACCGCCCACUCGACUCCAGGGUAGCGGUGCGGCUGGUCCACUGGAGUCUGCGGUGGAGUGAUGUUGGCGACAGGCUGGAGCCCUUGGUCCCAGAGGAGGCACACACCUGCCCAGGAACUAGAGAAGCCGAAGGAGGCUCUAGGAGAACAUGGGAACUUGAGUGCAGAUCCAGCCAUUCUUCACACCAAAGAGGCAAGUGAGCAGACAGGCAGACACCUGUGGCACAUCAUGGAGCCGAGAGCCGAGCCCACCAGCCUGGACAGGGUUACCUUUUUGCGUGGCCGGAGCUUGUCCCGCCAGUCCUUCAGGUUCUGGUUGUGGCU